CUAUUUUCCUAACUAUGUCCGAUAUACAUUUGAAGACAGAGAAGAUUAGCAUUGCUCCUGCGAGAAGAUGACACACAUAAAUCGGUCUAGUUUGCCCAAUUUUU